rnacentral:lncRNA from 1 species
AGCAGGUCUUCUGAUGUUUUCAGCACUCAACAUGCUCUCCGUCAAGCUCAGAUGUCCAAGGAGCUGAUUGAGUUGAAUAAAGAACUUGCAUUGAAAGAAGCCCUAGCUAAGAAGAUGACCCAGAAUGACAACCAGCUACAGCCCAUUCAGUUCCAGUACCAGGAUAAUAUUAAAAAUCUAGAAUUGGAAGUCCUCAGUCUACAGAAGGAAAAAGAAGAAUUGGUUCUUGAACUUCAAACAGCAAAGAAGGAUGUCAACCAAGCCAAGUUGAGCGAACGCCGUCGCAAACGUCUUCAGGAGCUGGAGGGUCAAAUAGCUGAGUUGAAAAAGAAACUUCAUGAACAGUCCAAACUUCUGAAGCUGAAGGAAACCACUGAGCU